rnacentral:rRNA from 1 species
CCCAGACUCCUACGGGAGGCAGCAGUGGGGAAUAUUGCACAAUGGGGGGAACCCUGAUGCAGCGACGCCGCGUGGGUGAAGGAGUAUUUCGGUAUGUAAAGCCCUCUCAGCAGGGAAGAACAAUGACGGUACCUGACUAAGAAGCACCGGCUAAGUACGUGCCAGCAGCCGCGGUAAUACGUAUGGUGCAAGCGUUAUCCGGAUUUACUGGGUGUAAAGGGAGCGCAGGCGGCGCGUUAAGCCUGGUGUGAAAGCCCGCGGCCCAACCGCGGGACUGCAGUGGGAACUGGCGCGCUGGAGUGCCGGAGGGGUAGGCGGAAUUCCUAGUGUAGCGGUGAAAUGCGUAGAUAUUAGGAGGAACACCAGUGGCGAAGGCGGCCUGCUGGACGACAACUGACGGUGAGGCGCGAAAGCGUGGGGAGCAAACAGGAUUAGAUACCCGAGUAGUG